UAUAAAUUCGCCAUACUUGCAUUGGUAGAUAGAUGGAGUGCGGUACUGGUCAUAAAAGCUAGAUCUCUCCACUGCAAGCUCAUGAUCUUGUCGCUAACGAAGCUAGCUAAUUGCUAAGUAACUACAGGCAUGGGAUCACGCUACUGGUCGCUUGGUUCUCCACAUGCUGGCACCGAAGAAAACAAUCAAGCCACAGGAGGGAUGAAAUGGGGUGAUCCCAGGACACAAGGCUCGCCUGCCAGCUUGCAAGGAUAUAGUGGGCCGUCUUCAGUGCAUCAGCCCAUCAGCAGAGAACCCGCAGCGGGUUUAAUACGGGGAGAUCCCAGGGCUCAAGGCGCACAAGGAUAUGGUGGGCCGUCUUUACUGCAUCAGCCCAUCAGCAGAGAACCGGCAGCGGGUUUAAUCCGGGGAGAUCCCAGGACUCAAGGCGCUCCCAUUACACAAGGGGCUCCCGAUUGGGGUAAUGUGAAGCAGCCAAACAGUACUGAAGGACAGCCACGGGAUAGGGGUUCAGGCCACCGUGCAUGAGUACUGCAAACCAACAGAUCAGACAUACAUAUAUAUCUAGACUAAUGAUUUGUAAUUUGUAUAUACUUGCACUUUGACACUUCAGCGCCACGGGCACGCGGAGCAAUAUGGGGUGAUCCCAGGGAUCAAGAUAAGCGUGUCUAAUUCCCGCCACCACGCAAAUAGGCGAUUCCACUCUUAAACUCUAUCUACAUAUGUAGCGCGUGAGGAAGCGGUACGCAUGGAAGUGAUCAUCAGACAGAUGGCGGUAUCAGACAGAUAUAUUACAAUAAAUGUAUUAAUCCAACCGUACAUAAUGUGUGGCGCAGCGAUCUCAGAUUGCAUAUGUAUAGCGUACGUACUUAGGUACGUGCGAGCGUAUAAAUACAUAUAUACAAGCACAUGGCCGCUGUUGCGGGUGCGCUAGAAUAAAUAUACAAUAUCCAUGCAUGCGUUAUCUGUAUACAUAUAGAAUAUUCAUGUAUGCGUUACUAUCGUAUACAAUAUCGAUCUGUUCUAUAUACAGAUGUUGUUCUAUAUACAUAUUAUCUGUAUACAUAUACAAUAUCCAUGUAUGCUUUACUAUCAUACAAUGUAACGCGGUGCGUGUAUCUCAUCAUCUUAUACUAUAUACCUGUACAAAUCAUCCCCACUAUUAGAAUUCUCUUCUUCCUCGUGCUUCCACGUCACCCCAUUUUGUCCCCACCCUUCGAUCUCAAUCAAGCGAUCGACCCCUCUCGCAUCGCUCCUCUCCUCUCCCACAUCUCGCUGCUUCGCCGGCCCCACGCGCAUCGACCCCUCUCUCCCGCAUCGCUCCUCUCCUCUCCCGCAUCGACUCCCUCUUCCGGAUCUCGCUCCGCCGCCCCCACCGCAUCAAUCUCGCCGCGUCACAUCCUCUCCAUCUCCCGCAUCGUGCUUGCCCGUAUGGGCGCUGGCAUGUCAUCCGCCUCCCGUGCCACACAGAGGCAGGAUGAGGGUGUGGCGCUUCCCCUCCCGUCGCCCCCAUGGCGGCUCGUGCGCCGCUUCCCCUUCCUCUCCCAUGUCUAAGGUUGUUCGCCUCUUUAGGUUGCCGUGAUGAAUGGAAACCUUCGACAACCACCGAGGAAAACACUUCAUGGCUGUUAUAAAGCUGCUGGCGUUUUACUACCGUUCUUGCAACUCUGCUUGCUGGAUGCAUAUGCACCCCUCACUUGGUCAUCCUCUCCAAUUACUUCAAUGAUCUAACACAGGUUACCUACCGAUUUUCCCUUUCCUUAUGUUCAGUAAAUCUGAUACCCACCGAUAGAUCUGUUCGCACACCAUUUCAAUUUGUACGCAUUAGUUAUUAUUUAAUUCAUUUUUGCAUCAUGAUCUAUAGUCAGUAUAUAGUAUCAUUAUUUGCUCAGUUUGAUUGUCUUAGCAAAUUUUAUUGUUGCUGUAUCCUUUUUUUUUUCCAGGUUUCAUGUUCUUGGUUACUGAUUUAGUUGAUUCAUAUUCUUUAUUUAUCCUGAAUUAUAGACCACUUCUCAUUCUUAAGUGGUUGAAGAUGUGGCAAAUGUGCAUCUACCGGUUGAUUUGUCACCCGAACAGAUCUAAGAAGAAUAUAAUUAACUCAUCGAGCUGAGUAACAAUCAUAUGGGCUGCUAAGCGGAUGGAGCUUUCUUCUUUUGGUAUUUUAAUUAUGGUCUUUAACUGGUGAAGUUAUAUAUAUGUCGGUACAUCUAUGUCGUUAAUGUGUUUUUCUCACUUUUCAUAAGGUCCUCAUAAAAAAUGAUGUUAGAUUCUCUACACACAGACACGCAUGUUUGCUCUUAAAUAGAUUAGGUUGUCUUCCGUCUCAAAGUUCAUUUUAUUUUCUGAUCAUGUAUACUCUAGAUAUGUUUUUAAGUAUCAUUUGUCACUAUUGAAUUAGCUUGGUGAUAUAAAUAUUUUUGGAGUUUUCUGAAAGCUAAAAUCACUCCAAAGAGUUAAUCAAGGAUGAGUACUUAAUUAUAUAUAUAUACGAGGUAAUAAUCCUUUUCCCAACUUCCCAUAUCUUACUCAAGCAUGAAAAUUUUCUACCAUUAUUAUAUAAUAGUUUGACACCUUAGUUAUGAUUUCCUUGCUAUCAGUGAUAAUUGGACUAUAUUUGUAGAUGUUUAAAUAUAAAAUAUUGAUGUUUCAGUUAUGGUUAUUAUCAGUUUUGUAAUUGUAAAGUAGUCAUCACUCAUCAGCUAGGUUUGCUACAUGACUUGACUGCAUUCCUGAUCAGCUAUGCAACUACGAAUGCACUCGUAAUGUUCAUCGCAUAUUUAUACGAUAAGAUAUGCAUAAUAAUUGCUACUUCCAGUUAAAUAAACUUUUCUUACCACAAUAAUAUAUGAUAUUCUAGCACCUUAUUCAUGAAUCGAUUGGCAUUCAUUUGCAAGAUUAACUACAGAAUUUCCAAAACUGUGAUAAAUGGGUCAGCGAGGGAAGUGGUACUAGGAAAAACGUCAUGCUGAAUAAAGGCUAUCAAGUUAACGAGGACAACAGUAUGACACCUUACUUGCUUUUCUACUGUAAUUUUUCAUACAUGCUCUGUUCAUAAACACAUAGUACAUAAUUUUGGGUAAUUUUAUUGAUGGUGUAUUGUUUUCAUUUUCCAGUAAUGUUUAGUGGCCUUCAAUUUUGUUUAUUAAUACUUGCUCUAUCCGGCCGUCAACAGCCAUAUAUUUGAGUUGUAAUUAUGUUAGUUGCAUUGGCCAACCACUGCUACAUGAGUGGAUACUCCAUCAUGUAAUAUUUAGUUAUAAUUGUAAAAUCAAAGGUGUUUUUGAUUAUUAUUCUGUGAUGAACAAUUGUCAUUGGAGAUUAUUGGUUUUGUUAUUUGGAAUUUAUUCACGAAGUGGUUUUGGAGAUGAUUGGAUUUACAGGUGAAUUGCAGGUUCAUUAUUUCAUGUGGACCGGUCAGACUGGGUCGGUGCGGUUGGUCAGACCGGCGUGUAUUGCGUGGUCAGACCGUCGCAGCCCGCGGUCUGACCGGCCGACGCUGUGUCGGUUUCGGUUUCGGGUUGUUUGUUUGGAUAUCCAUGAUUAUUUCAUGAUUAUGGCUUCUAGAUGGAUACUAUACGUGACUCGAUGCCUCGGGAGAGUAUUUGCGGUGAUGGACUGGGAGUCGGCUUGGGAAUAAGACGAAGUCCGUGGUGGUCAGAGAUCAUGAGGGAUACUAAGACUAGAGUUGAUGCACGUGGUUGAUGGAGAUUCCAUAUAUAUGGCAUACGAUGGAGGUAUUGUGUGCGUAUGGGAUGCGGAGUCGAAUUUGG